rnacentral:rRNA from 1 species
AGAUGAGAUUUCCCACUCGCAGGCUUGCCUGCGAGGUAAGACCCCUCGGAGAAGACGAGGUGGAUCGGUCCGAGGUGUAAGCGCAGCAAUGCGUUCAGCUGACGGAUCCGAAUCGGUCGAGGGCUUCUCCU